GGGCCUUCACACCCAUGCUGUUCCCCCAGGUGCCUCCUCCCAGACCAGGCCUGGCUGAUCCUCCCCUUCCCUUUCCUUCUAGCAACCUGAACAAACCAUCCCUGUUCUCUGUGCUGCUGGGGGCCUGGCAGCUGGGGAACCCUGGCUCUCGGUCCCAGAAGGUGGGUGUUGCCUGGGUGCAGCCCCACCCUGUGUAUUCCUGGAAGGAGGGUGCCCGUGCGGACAUUGCCCUGGUGCGUCUUGAGCACUCCAUACAGUUUUCAGAGCGGGUCCUGCCCAUCUGCCUACCUGAUGCCUCUAUCCACCUCCCUCCAAACACCCACUGCUGGAUCUCAGGCUGGGGGAGCAUCCAAGAUGGAGGGGCUUCUUCAAGAGCUAGAAUCGCGGACUUUCAGUCCACAAUCUGCAGACCACAGUGGGUAGACCAGCUCCAGGCAAGGCAUGGGGAUCCCUCAGGUCCUGGUAAUUUUCAACAUCUAGUGGACAUUUAUUGAACACUUCUUCUAUAGCAGUCCUGGUGCUGGAUGAAGUAAUGCAGUAUUUGAGACAGGAAAAGCUCUAACCAUCUGUGGAUAUCAGAAAAUUUAUUAAAGAGUGCCCUUGCCCCACCCUCAGACCCUGCAGAAGC
rnacentral:sRNA from 1 species